UACGUAGGGGGCAAGCGUUGUCCGGAAUCAUUGGGCGUAAAGAGCGUGUAGGCGGCCCGAUAAGUCCGCUGUGAAAGUCCAGGGCUCAACCCUGGAAUGCCAGUGGAAACUGUCGGGCUCGAGUCCGGAAGAGGCGAGUGGAAUUCCUGGUGUAGCGGUGAAAUGCGCAGAUAUCAGGAGGAACACCGAUGGCGAAGGCAGCUCGCUGGGACGGUACUGACGCUGAGACGCGAAAGCGUGGGGAGCAAACAGG
rnacentral:rRNA from 1 species